ensembl:lncRNA
GCCCCGCCCCCACGUGGCCGGGGGUCGCGCCCCUCGGAGGCCGGCGGUCUGCGCCUCGCUGGGCUGCGCCCACGUGGGUCCCGGGCGGCGGACCCCACACCCGGACAGAGCCCGCGGCCUCCUGCCCCUCCCGGGCCGGGGGAGACCUCCCUCUCGCCGUCCGCGAUGCUACCACGUGUCCAUCUUUGAAAAAAACGAGCGCCUAUCUGAACCCCCCCAGGAGCAGAGGCUGCAUUUGAGUGUGUAACGCGCAGCUCCAAGGCAGAUGCCUGAUGACCAGAGCCAAGAAAGAAGAGCCUGUGAAAUGGUGGCUUUUGUUUGGCUGACAAGUCUAAAGGGAUUGGGAGCUCCAGAGGGAGAGACUGGCUGGUGAAGGGGAGAAGGCCCUGUGGUGACCGCAGUUAGGUUGUGUAGACUCAGAGGCACUACGAUUUGUGACAAUUGGAACAGUCUUCUAAUGGGUCCUCGGUAUUCAGAGAUUCAAGCCCAGUGCACUUCAACCGCCAAACUUUUAAGUAAACUGUCAGGCCAAGGGUCCCUCCAGCUAUGUUUUUGGAAUCGACUUUCAGAACCUGAUUACCCAAUUCACCAUUUACCUGCUGGAAGAUGACCCUCUCAGCCUACACUCCACAGGCUCUGCUUUUGGCAAAGAUGCCAGUUACUAUCAUGUGGAGACCACGAGGAAGUUUCAGAAAAGUGUUUUCAAAUACAACCUAGAGGAAGCGGCUUAUGAGAUUGCUGUAUCAUUGCUGCUGGAGAAAAAAAAUCGUGUUAAAUGUGCUUCUUGGCUCCUCCAAAGACAUCAUGAGUCUUCAGUCUCAUCCACGCAGCAUCCUUCCUUGAGGACCCUGGUCAGCGUCCUCCCUAACUGUGCUGCCAGCCCCCACUCACCCAGACCUCACUCCAGCCCC